UAAUAAAAACUGCAAUUUUUAUUCAAAAUGCCAUUUUCGUUUGUUUUAUUUUAAGAAAUAUAAAACGACGUUAAAAAUGAUGUUUACGUCAAAUUCGAUGUAUAAGUUAUUAUUAUUAUUAUUAUUAUUAUUAUUAUUAUUAUUUUUAUCGUAAGUUGUAAAGUUUAUAUAUGCAAAACGGGUUUAUCAAUUGAUAACAACACUUGGUAUUGGUUGAAGAUCUAAUGUUUGAUAUCGUACAUAUACAUAUAUAAAUGUUUUCUACAUCUAUUUCCAUUUUAGUAGAACAAAUUACCUUUAUUUAUUUAUUUAUUUUUAAACGGCAAACUAUCAUGUUCCUAAUCUAAUCCUAAACAUUAUCUAUGUCUCCUAGUGAGAUUUGAACUAAUGACAUUUCAUUUGAAAGAGUCACUCCUUAUCACUAGGCCAAAGUCGCUUUGGUAAAUUAAUUUUAUUAACAUGGUUGUUUUAUUUUAUAAUUAAACAAAAUUUAUAAUAACAUGUUUAUUAUAAUUAAAAGUUAAAAAAUUUUCUUUUGAAUAUCGAUAGUAUUUUUCUGCGACAACAUUUCGCAGCAGCCUGACGUUUAUUUUGACCAUUGUAAGUGUAGCAAUGGUUAAAAGUUAUAUCUUUCCUUAUUUGAUAUUAGUGACAUGGAUGGACUUUUGUUGUCAUACAAAUUUUCAAAAAUAGUUGUAUUUGUUUGAACAAUUAGUGAAUCUUGAAUGCAUGUUAAGCGAAAAAAACGUUUACGUUCGAGGUUAUUUUUAUUUCAAUUAAUGUAGACGAUAAACAAAAAUCGUAUGUUAAACGUCUUUUUUUAACGACAUCAAAAUUCUUUAUAGAAAAGACCAACAAAAAACUAGUCUAAAAAAUACAACUUGGUUCUUGGUAAAAACUAAAGUCCGGGUUUGUAAGUUAAGAAACGAACAAUGUAGACGACAUUUUUUAACGCAUAUACUAGAAAUACAAGAAAAAUGAUUCAAAACAAUAUUAGGAAACAUAACAUCCUUCGUUAUAGUACAAAUAUCAGAAAGAUUAUUUUUCUAAAAUCUCCAAAUAACACCAAAGAAAACAUAAGUUACCGCAUUGGAAGAUUCGUGAAAUGUCAAUUUUAAAAGAAAAUACAAUCUCUGUUUAAUACAAGAAAAAUACCUUUGUGCCAACGCUAUACAUUGGCAUAGGGUUCACCAAGCACCAUUGACUUCACAUUUUGAGACGACGACUUGUCGUCAUAGUAGAUGGGGCACGCAAGUAAAAAAAAAUCGCUGGUUUGUGAAAAUCUAUACCAACAAGUCAUUGUUAUAGAUUUUAUAAAAAUAAUUUCUAGUUUUUAUUUGUGAUGUUGCAGAUAAAAGUGAAACGAAAUUGUUUUUGUCAACCUAUAUCCAAACAAUAAGUUGUCGAUAUAGAAGGAGGUCGACGUAACACAAAGUUUCAGCUAUAAUUACUUUUGUAGUUUGGGGUAUUCAAGACUUAAAUAUAAGAUUUUAUGGUGGCCACGACGUGGUGAUGAUAGCACCACAAUGUGACAGAUAAAAGUGUGUAUUCCUUUAGAGUGUCACGGUGUGACAAAAUAUUGGUCACGACGUGUCAACCACCUGCAUGCAAAACCCCAAUUAUUCGGGUGUUAAGCCCUAUUUAAGAGAUGUGAUGGUUAGGAUUUGCAAACCCUCAACCUCCAUCACCCCCCUUUCAUCCUAAACAAACAAUAGCCUCCAUUUUGUGACCAUGAAGCUUAAGUGUUGAUUUUUGGUGUCUUGAAGGAGAAGAAGAUGUUCCUUGAGCAUAGAUCAAACAAACAAGUUCCUCGCCAACUCAUUACAUAUAUUCUGGACCAUUGUGACUCAUACCAAUUUUUGGAUUCAUGUGAGCUAUAUUGUUUAUCUGCUAGACUGUGAGGCCAAUAUACUUGGGCGGCCUAGGUGUAGUGUAGGCCUUGCAAGGCUAUCAAAUCAUACUGUAGGCCUAAGGAGAGCGAUCCAGGUGUACUACAGACCUUAUGAGGCGGUCUAGUCAGACCGUUGGCUCAUGUGUGCAUGCAUUGUAUGCGUAUUGUUGUGUCAGGUAUUUUGGAGGAACUCACUAAACUUUGCCUUAUAGCUGUGGAUUUAAAUAUUUCAAGAAAUUCAUAGGACCGGGGAAAGGCAAAUGUGUGGUCAUACACGUUAUCCUGUUGAUUUCUACCUGAGGGAUGUUAUUGACACACUAAUAUUUAGGAUUAUGUUUUGAAAUAGUCAUUUGAUACUUUAUGAGUUUUAUGGAAAUGUCCUUUGAAAAUGAAAAUGUUUACUAUGGUUUUUGGGAUGUUACAAGUUGGUAUCUGAGCCAUAUUUUGAGGGAUUUAGAUGAACACUCAUGUGAUUCCAUACUCAAACUGUGGAUCAGCAAAAGUGUUUUCAUAAAUAAUUUCUAAACAAUUAAAAAGGAGUAUACGAUGUGUACAAUCAGCUAGAGCUCAAGAAAAAGUUAUUCCCCAAGAUGCCCACACUUGUUGUGUGUAUAUUUCUAAUAUGUUAAAGUGUUAGAAUUGCAUGCUAGUUCAUAGGCUAGGGAUCUUUAGGAAUUACACGAGGGAAUUGCUUGAUUUAUGAUGCUUGAUAGCCUAUGGGGAUUUCUUGUUGUUCCAUAUGUAGCUUACAUUAUUGGUGUGAUUGCGAAGUGUAUGCAUCAUGAUUGUACAUAACUAGGAUUUUAUAGCAUGAGAAUACUUGAUUUAUCCCUAUUUCGUAUUCCUUGUUUUGUUGUGGGUUAAGGGUAGAAUAACAUAUUCGAUUGUCUAUUGAAUCUGGUGUUAUGUAUGAUUAGCAUGCCAAAGGAAACCGUAGUGUUAGUAGAGGUUUCAUAAGUUAGGUGUGUGAUUAUUAGAAUGCUAGCCAAAGUAUGGAAUUGCUAGUUUCUUUUGAGAGAGUGAGUGUAGGGUGUAUUCGUACCCUAGUUGCUCCGGAACUAUUGGACCAGGAAUUUCGUGGUGAUCCUUUGAGACAAGUAUGGGUGGGUGUGGAACGUAGUAUUAGCUUGUACUACUGGAAGCACAUAACCUGUAUGCAUAUCAAGGAAGUCACGAGUUACAAGGGAUGAGUAAUCGAGUAGAGGUGUGUUAGAGUUUAUUGUGAUUUUCUCACGUGUUCUAGUUUAUUUUUAGUAUGGUGACUAUGAGAGGUUCAAGAUCAGGUGUAGAUGGCUCAAAGGGGCAAGGUUUGGGUGAUGACAACAUGAGAUGAUCACUACUGAAGUGACUUUGGCAGUCAGGGAGACCAUCUCCGAGGUGUUUGGAUCUUUCAAGACCAUUUGAUUGAGAUUUCGAUGAGCGCUAUGUUGUUGUCAUUAAGGCUGCUAUCGUUACAGCCACUGCAACUGCAGGAAUUUAGGGAGGAGGGUCUAAGUAGUACUAGGAGUUCAGAAACAUGAAGCCCCCAAAGUUUGAUGGAUUCAAGGGCCCGAUUGUUUUUAUGAGAUGGAAAUAUGAUGUUGAGGGUUUUUUUUAAACAUGUUCAUGUCCAGAGAACCAAAAAGUGAAGUUUUCACUAAAACUUCUUCACUUGGGGGUGAAGGAUUGGUGGAAGUUUCCCAUUUAGGGUUUUCUACUGCAGAUCAAGCCGUUGUGACUUGGGAGCAGUUCACUGAGAUUUUCCAUAUUGAUUAUGCUCCAUUGGUCGAGAUAAAGAUAGAUAGAUAGAUAGAUAGAGAGAGAGAGAGAGAAAAGAGAAAAAAGAAAGAGGGAGAGAGAGAGAGAGAAAGGGAGAGAGAUGAGAGAGAUAGUGAGAGAGAGAGAGAGAAAUAUAUAGAUAGAUAGAUAGAUAGAUAGAUAGAUAGAUAGAUACAGAGAGUGUGUUUGUGAAAGAUUAGCUCAGGAGUCUCUGUCGCUGAAGCAUGCAACAUAAUCCGUGACAGAGACUAAUAUAGGGUCGUUGAGUAUCUACUCUUACCCAUCACACCCUUGACUAGUGGAGGGUUGUUAGCCGAAUGGUUAGGAUUGGACACAGCCUUCCAUUAGAAGUAUAAUGAAGUACGAAGUAACUAAACACUUUUAUAAAUUCCCAAAUCUUAGUUACUUUAGGAAAAAUAUGAAUUUGGUGCUAAUCCAUGAAAUUGCACAUUGCACCUUGUUGGUCGUUAGUGGAGCGUGCUUGGUUAAUCGGCAAACUAAUAUGGGACCAAUGAAAGAUUGCAAUGGGUAGCUCGUAGAUUAUCAUAAAUCGAUGGAGCGUGUGUGGUUAACUGGCACAUUGAUUAGGUGAUAUAUGUCUUUGAGAGUACCAAGCUAAUUUGCAUGGUUAUUCACACCUUGUUUGUGAUCCUCGGUAUCCCAGCCACAAAAUUGAAGGGCAUAAUCGAGAUUAAACAUGCCAUUGAAAUUUUCAAUGAAUCUUAAAAUAUCUAUGAGUUUCAAUUCAUUAAAAACCUAAUUUUCAUUUUCGUUUUUCAUGGUGGAAAUUGGUAAAUCGUCAUUUACCUACCUUCAAAUAUUCUGCAACUAGAUUACGACAUCCCUCUUCCUAGUUGUAGAAUAUUGUGUUGGGUCCUAGCCUUAAUAUUUAAUUUGGGUGUUAUAUUAAGGAUUGAAUCAACUAACUUGAAUUUCUCCCGUUUUGUAGAUGUCAAAUUCUAACAACUAUGGUCUUCCCAAACCUUUUGGAAAAAGCUUUCCACUUCAAGGUGAUGUUCCACAAUUGGAUAGUGGAAAUGGAAAUCAUUGCUCACUUCCUCCACCUCUUCCAAUAAUUCUCCCUGACCCACAUGUUCGAAGACUUGAAAAGUUCAAGGUCAUUUAAGCCCUAUUGGCAAGUAAAGACAGAGAUGGAAAGUCUAUAUGUGCUCACGUCUUGGAAAUGAAGUUACAUAUUGACAAGCCGGGAAUGUUAGGUUUCGAUGUCUCAAGGAAGUUGGUUGUUGACUUGGUUCUUCAAUCACUUCCUAAGUCAUAAAGUGAGUUCAUUAAGGAUUACUAUAUGAUGGACCACGACAUGGCCCUCAUAGAUUUUACCUAUUUGUUUAUUGUUGCUGAAUCAACAAUGAUUUGGCGCACUGGUAAAGCAACUUUGACUGGUAAGUCAGCCUCCCAAACUUCCAUGGAUAUUGAAGAUGAUAAAAUUGGAAGUCUAGAAAAGUCUUCUCUUCAUAAUGGAAAAGGAUCAGCUAAGGUCAAACCGUUUGACCGGAUGGUAAAAAGAAAGGCUGAAUCUGAGAUUGUCCCAUGUGCUAUUCUAAAAGAGUCUGUUUGUUUCUACUGCCAAGAGAAAGGGCAUUGGAUGCAAAGCUUCCGUAUCUACCUAAAGGAUCGCGAAGAUGGGAGAGUCAAGAUGUAUGACUGUGCUUCAGGAUCGAAGAAAAGAAAGGAAGCUUAAAGGAAGAGCAUGCUGAGUCUGAUCAUGAAGAGAUGGAUUUCGACGCAUGGUUUGAAGAUCGGAUUUUUGAGCUGCUGUUUAAGAGUUAGGAUAGAUUGCUUAGAAAUAUUUAGUAACAUAGUUUUCAUUUGUCAUUGCGUUGUAAGGACAGGUUUU